AGAGGGUGCAAGCGUUAAUCGGAUUUACUGGGCGUAAAGGGCGCGUAGGUGGUUAUUUAAGUGAGAUGUGAAAUAUCCGGGCUUAACCUGGAGGAGCCAUUUGAUACUGGAUAACUGGAGUGCAUUAGAGGGAAGCGGAAUUUCCGGUGUAGCGGUGAAAUGCGUAGAUAUCGGAAGGAACACCAGUGGCGAAGGCGGCUUUCUGGGAUGCAACUGACACUGAGGCGCGAAAGCGUGGGGAGCGAACAGGGAUUAGAUACCCUGGUAGUCCACGCUGUAAACGAUGAAUACUAGCCCGUAUGGUCGCAAGACUGUGUGGCGCAGCUAACGUGAUAAGUAUUCCCGCCUGGGAGUACGGCCGCAAGGCUA
rnacentral:rRNA from 1 species